UACGGAGGGGGCUAGCGUUGCUCGGAAUCACUGGGCGUAAAGGGCGCGUAGGCGGCGUUUUAAGUCGGGGGUGAAGCCUGUGGCUCAACCACAGAAUUGCCUUCGAUACUGGGACGCUUGAGUCUGGUAGAGGUUGGUGGAACUGCGAGUGUAGAGGUGAAAUUCGUAGAUAUUCGCAAGAACACCGGUGGCGAAGGCGGCCAACUGGACCAGUACUGACGCUGAGGCGCGAAAGCGUGGGGGAGCAAACAGGAUUAGAUACCCUGGUAGUCCACGCCGUAAACGAUGAAUGCCAGCCGUUGGGGGGCUUGCCUCUCAGUGGCGCAGCUAACGCUUUGAGCAUUCCGCCUGGGGAGUACGGUCGCAAGAUUAAAACUCAAA
rnacentral:rRNA from 1 species